AAAUAGACCAUGUGUGUCCUUAACUUUUUGUUUUGUUUUUUUGCCUUUCUUUUGAAUCUCCUUAAAACAACACACUCCCUUUUUAGUCAAAAUGAAUGUCAAGACAGGUUUCUGCUGUCUAUUAAGAUACUAUUCAGGCUUCCUUUUAUUUACCUGUUCAAUAUGUAAACUAAACAGCAAGAACUCAUGAACAGAAUAUGCAGCAAGACAACGUCAAAGCAAGUUCCUUAAGAAUGGAGUAAAUAACUGCAUCUGUAACAGGCAGAUUUGGUGCUGAACAGAGUGCAGAAAACCUUGCGAGGCGGUUUAAAGCAAUACUGCUGUAAAAAUCACUGCACGACUCAAUUCUUUUGUCAAGGUCAAGACCUACCUUUAAUGAAUGAAGCCAGCCUGAAUGGAAAAACACUGCAUAACAAACUGCUUUGAAAGACAGGCCAGCUGAUGUCUAAAUAUUGGACUAACGUGCAGUACUUCUAGGUUAUUUGCUGGUGUUUGCUAUGUGACAAAUAGUCAACCACUCUGGCAAGAGCACUUUGGCAACUGUGAGCUUCCAACACAUGCUCUCUUAAGGAAUCAUGGGGAUGGAAGUCUUAUCUAUAGAUGGCGUUUCACUGCUGUCUAUCCCGAAAGGAAGAGGAUUGAAAAGAAAAACAAACUAUGCACACUCCCUCUUUUCUAGAAAAAUUGCUGCAAUCUGUAUCACCAGCUCUGAGAAAAUAAGUAUCUGUCAGAUUGAGCUGAAAAGUGAGCAACUAAAUAAGGGCUUUUAACAAUUUAAUUUAUAAGCCCACAACAAAUAGCUACCUGUUCAGAACAACUGCUACACGAGGAAGGAGUUCUACAAUUUCCAGAUCUCCUUCCAUACUUCUAGUAUAAGAAAUUACUUAUCAGAUCAUAUCAUUUGUAAGUGUACAACUUUCACAAAGGAGAUUGUGUCAUGUUGCUCAGACGAAGAAAAUAUUAAAUAAUCACCGGCCAUAGUUUCUAAAAAUAUUCUGGAACACAAGUUGGUCAAGUGUGAAAAUGUAAAACAAAUCAAGCUCAGCACAUUGGUGAAAAGUUGUACUAUUUCAGCAGUUUACAAUUUUUUAAUUACUGAGUUUUGUUAAUACCCUGAAAAAAAUCUACCAAAUAAGCUACUCAGAAACAAAGGGAAAGUGUCAGUUUUACAGUUAACAUUCCAUCUACUCUGUACACUGUGAUUCUACAUUGCAACCAUCUCCCUUUCAUCACCCACUCUCCAUGUAUCGCCAACCUGCACAUCAAUAACACAGCCUCACAGGAGAUUCUCUCAUAAGAUUUUGAUGAUUGAUGUAGGCUGGGUAAGGUUUUCAGAAUUUUGUUUACUGACAGUUGUGUCCUGUCCUAAUCCAUUAAUUAUUCUGGACAUUUAUUCUGGUAAAUUAUUCAUAAUAUUAGUUAUUCAGGAUCAAAUACUAAUACUUGUGUGGAAAUUACAGAGCUUAAAUCAGGAGGGUGAAUAUAUCAGUGUUUAGUAAAAGUGCAGACUGAUAUUUCAAAGGAUGAAAUAUGCAUAGUUUUAUGGCUGAAAGAGAAAUUAUUAAAUCUGAGAAAAGUAAAUUGGGGUGGUUGAAAAUAGUUUGUUAAAACACUUAUGUCUGUGCUGUCUACAGUUUAUGUUGGAUUGUGUGGUUUGCCUCCCUUAAAUCAAUGCUGUAAUCGAGAGUUUCUCAAUACUCACUGUAAUAUGGUUCUGCUACUCAUUAAGGGUAAGAAAACUGCUGUCACAACGGUUGAAAAUGUCUCAUUUGAUCAAGUAUCUCAGCUAUUACAGGGCUGGCUCUAGGCACUCUAUACCCUCCUUUAUAUACCUGGUUACUUCUGGAUUAUUUCUUUUCAGAUGACUUGAGGAUUCACUUGGAAGCAACUGCACCCUUACUGUCAAUUCUUCCCAGGUGACAGCUUCACUUUGUAGAUCAAUUAUUAAGAUAGAAGAAGUGCUCAUUAUGGUACUCACAAAUGGUAUUGCACUCCAGAAUCAAAGAAAAUCAGAAUGUAAAGACAUUUUUUUCUUAAUCAACUGGUCAAUAGAAGAAAACCAUUUUUUGUUUCUGCCAACUCUUUUGUAUCUGGAAGUGAGAUAAUAAAAACAGCUAUAUCAGAA